rnacentral:rRNA from 1 species
CGCGGCCUAUCAGCUUGUUGGUGAGGUAAUGGCUCACCAAGGCGACGACGGGUAGCCGGCCUGAGAGGGCGACCGGCCACACUGGAACUGAGACACGGUCCAGACUCCUACGGGAGGCAGCAGUGGGGAAUAUUGCACAAUGGGCGCAAGCCUGAUGCAGCGACGCCGCGUGGGGGAUGACGGCCUUCGGGUUGUAAACCCCUUUCAGGAGGGAAGAAAAUGACGGUACCUCCAGAAGAAGCCCCGGCCAACUACGUGCCAGCAGCCGCGGUAAUACGUAGGGGGCAAGCGUUGUCCGGAAUUAUUGGGCGUAAAGAGCUCGUAGGCGGCUCAGCAAGUCGGCUGUGAAAUCCCGAGGCUCAACCUCGGAACUGCAGUCGAUACUGUUGUGGCUAGAGUCCGGUAGAGGAGAAUGGAAUUCCCGGUGUAGCGGUGAAAUGCGCAGAUAUCGGGAGGAACACCAGUAGCGAAGGCGGUUCUCUGGGCCAGUACUGACGCUGAGGAGCGAAAGCGUGGGGAUCAAACAGGAUUAGAUACCCUGGUAGUCCACGCCGUAAACGUUGGGUACUAGGUGUGGCGUCCCGAUCAACGGACGCCGUGCCGAAGCUAACGCAUUAAGUACCCCGCCUGGGGAGUACGG